GAUGAACGCUGGCGGCGUGCCUAAUACAUGCAAGUCGAGCGAACAGACGAGGAGCUUGCUCCUUCGACGUUAGCGGCGGACGGGUGAGUAACACGUAGGUAACCUACCUAUAAGACUGGGAUAACUUCGGGAAACCGGAGCUAAUACCGGCUAAUAUUUCGAACCGCAUGGUUCGAUAGUGAAAGAUGGCUUUGCUAUCACUUAUAGAUGGACCUGCGCCGUAUUAGCUAGUUGGUAAGGUAACGGCUUACCAAGGCAACGAUACGUAGCCGACCUGAGAGGGUGAUCGGCCACACUGGAACUGAGACACGGUCCAGACUCCUACGGGAGGCAGCAGUAGGGAAUCUUCCGCAAUGGGCGAAAGCCUGACGGAGCAACGCCGCGUGAGUGAUGAAGGUCUUCGGAUCGUAAAACUCUGUUAUUAGGGAAGAACAAACGCGUAAGUAACUGUGCACGUCUUGACGGUACCUAAUCAGAAAGCCACGGCUAACUACGUG
rnacentral:rRNA from 1 species